AAGUCGUAACAAGGUCUCCGUUGGUGAACCAGCGGAGGGAUCAUUACAGAGUUGCAAAACUCCCUAAACCAUUGUGAACGUUACCUUUAACCGUUGCUUCGGCGGGCGGCGCUCUGCCGCCCCUCGGCCCUGCCCGGGCGCCCGCCGGAGGAUACCCAACUCUUGAUACUUUGAUGGCCUCUCUGAGUCUUCUGUACUGAAUAAGUCAAAACUUUCAACAACGGAUCUCUUGGUUCUG
rnacentral:misc_RNA from 1 species